rnacentral:rRNA from 1 species
AACGAACGCUGGCGGCAUGCCUAACACAUGCAAGUCGAACGAGACCUUCGGGUCUAGUGGCGCACGGGUGCGUAACGCGUGGGAACCUGCCUUUAGGUUCGGGAUAACUCAGAGAAAUUUGAGCUAAUACCGGAUGAUGUCUUCGGACCAAAGAUUUAUCGCCCUUAGAUGGGCCCGCGUUGGAUUAGCCAGUUGGUGGGGUAAAGGCCUACCAAGGCGACGAUCCAUAGCUGGUCUGAGAGGAUGAUCAGCCACACUGGGACUGGGACACGGUCCAGACUCCUACGGGAGGCAGCAGUGGGGAAUAUUGGACAAUGGGCGGAAGCCUGAUCCAGCAAUGCCGCGUGAGUGAUGAAGGCCUUAAGGUUGUACAGCUCUUUUACCCGAGAUGAUAAUGACAGUAUCGGGAGAAUAAGCACCGGCUAACUCCGUG